rnacentral:rRNA from 1 species
AGUUUGAUCCUGGCUCAGGAUGAACGCUAGCUACAGGCUUAACACAUGCAAGUCGAGGGGCAGCAUGGGAUUAGCUUGCUAAUCCUGAUGGCGACCGGCGCACGGGUGAGUAACGCGUAUCCAACCUUCCCUUAACUCCGGAAUAGCCCGCUGAAAGGCGGAUUAAUGCCGGAUGCGGUCCAGCGAGGGCAUCUGACCCGGACCAAAGGUUUACCGGUUAAGGAUGGGGAUGCGUCUGAUUAGGUUGUUGGCGGGGUAACGGCCCACCAAGCCAUCGAUCAGUAGGGGUUCUGAGAGGAAGGUCCCCCACAUUGGAACUGAGACACGGUCCAAACUCCUACGGGAGGCAGCAGUGAGGAAUAUUGGUCAAUGGGCGGAAGCCUGAACCAGCCAUGCCGCGUGAAGGAAUGAGGCCCUAUGGGUCGUAAACUUCUUUUGACGGGGAGCAAUAAGGCGUACGUGUACGCUGAUGAGAGUACUCGUCGAAUAAGCAUCGGCUAACUCCGUGCC